CUGACUCGGGCAUUAAACAGCAACGAAUGACUUCGCAGGUGUAAUUUUUAUUUUAUUUUUUUCUGAGACAAAUUUCUCUACGUAACAGUCCUGGCUGUCCUGGAACUUGCGCUGUAGAUCAGACUGGCCUCCAACUCAAAGAUCUGCCUGUUUGGAUCUCUGAAGUGUUGGACCCCCGGGGAAUGAGGGAAACUCACAUGUAUGUGUGCAUAUAAUGCAUUAAAAAAAACUAAAAUGGUGAACCUGCAAGAUGGGUAAAGGCACUUACUUGUCAAGCCUGAGGCCCUGAGUUGAAUCCCUGGAAGCCACAUGGUGGAGGGAGAGCACCGGCUCCUGCAGUGGGUUCUCUGACCUCCACAUAUGCAUUCUAUCUCUCUCUCUCUCUCACACACACACAUUUAAAAACUCAAAGUGGCCAACAGGGUUGCACAGAUCUAUCCCUGAACUUCUCAGCUUUACUGACAGAGGUAAGUUACCACACAGACAUGUUGGGAACAAAUCCACAAGGCACUCUUUUGGGAACAUUUUUCUUUUCUCUAGUUGGGGCUGGUCUUGAACUUCCAAGCCUCUUUGUUCCAGCUCUUGAAUGUUGGGAUAACAGGUGUUAGCACCAUGACCAGUCCAUGCAGUGCAGGUAGUUAGGUACAGGACUUCCAAGGAGGCAUUCUGUCAACUGAGCUGCAUUUCCAACUCAAUGCUUUGGAUUCUAGCCAUACCACCGAAGGUUUGUCCCUUGAUGUGGACACUGAAGUAAAUUUACAGAACUUACAAUCACACUGAUAUGUGCAGAAUGUGCCUCAAUCCUACUUACAUUUUUCAAAAAUGUGCCCCCUUUCCUCCUCAAUGUCCAAGGACACCAAGCUUGGUGGACAAUGGUGUAGUCUAACUGGACCUGUUUCAAACUUGGAAAUCAAUUCUGCAUCUAAUUAGGUAUGUAUUGUGAAAAGUUUAUUACAGUGUGUGUGUGUGUGUGUGUGUGUGUGUGUGUGUGUGUGUGUGUGUGUGUGUGUACAUGUGCCACGAGAAGUCCAGGGAUCACUUGCUGGAGUGCAUUUUCUUUCCUGGGGACUGAGAUCAGGUUGUCAGGCUUGGCAGCAGGCACCUUUACUCUGCAAGCAUUUUGUUGGCACAGACAAUGGCCUAUGUUCUGGUUUCAUCUUCCUACUUCUUGGGCUGCAUACUCAAGUUCCUUCUUCUUCAGCCUUGCAGUCUUCCUAACCUCAAAUGGAAACUGACCUGGAGAAGGGCAAUACUUGAGGAAUCCCUGACUCACCUUGCCUAGAACUCUGGUCUAGGGACAGAGAGCCCAGCAGUCUAUACAAAGGUUUAAGAGAGUUCAUAUUUGCUUACUACAAAACAGUGCAGAAGUGCCAGGCGUUGGUGGCGCACGCCUUUAAUCCCAGCACUCAGGAGGCAGAGGCAGGUGGAUCUCUGUGAGUUGGAGGCCAGCCUGGUCUCCAGAGCAAGUUCCAGGGCAGGCUCCAAAGCUACACAGAGAAACCCUGUCUUGAAAACCAAAAAACAAUCAAAAACAAACAAAACAGUGCAGAAGGCUUCGUAUCAAUACAUACUUGGUGACUGGGCUGGGCCACUCCGAUGGAGGUAGGCUUAGGUGGGGUAGUACCUACCCAGGGUUGAUUUUCCUUUCUUUCAAGCAGACUUGAGGGCAGCCCAGCAGAAGUGACCCUGCGUCUCCCCAGGGAUGACAGUAGGGGUUAAUUCUAAUUUUUCCUCAUCCUGUGCUCACCCCACAAUCAUUUGUAGAUCUGGACCCUACUAGCAUGGGUUGCUGGAAACAGGUCUUUGAAGCCCAAGUGUGAGGCAGUAACUCUGCUUUCACCGCCAUUGAUUAACAUCUGGUGGUGGGAGUGGGGUAAAAAGAAACAUUUAUAGGGAUAAUAGCCAAUGGGGAUUUGGUUGAAAAGCAAAUAUGAAACUAGAGCCAAGUUUGGCAUAAUGGUGAUCAGAGCCACUGGCAAUCAAAUGCACCCAACUUUCAGAUAAUGAUGAACAGUGUGAGAGACACCAUUGUUGGUGCUGGGCACGAGCUACAGGAUGGCUCUAACUGUGACUUCCUAGAGUUGCUUUAUUAGCAGGAACGGGACAUGAAUG
rnacentral:lncRNA from 1 species